rnacentral:misc_RNA from 1 species
UUGCAGAUCUCAGGCUUCCCUGUCGAAAGUACACGAACCAAAGAUGAUUUUCCGACAUUGGGAGCACCGACAAGACAGAGAGUUGGUGUUUCCAGAUCGACAACUGGCAUUGCCCGUAAUGUCUUGGCAAUGUUCAAUAGUUCAUCAACAGCUUUUCCAUCGCCAUCAAAUAUCUCCUCAAUUCUUUUCAAUCCCUCAUUCAGUCGCUCCUCUGCUUCUCGUUUAGAUAAUGACUUAGCACAUAAUGAUGCAUGUUCCUUUCCAACUGAUACCACCUUUUUCCUUAGAGCUUCUAACUUUCCCAAUACAUCUUCAUAGUUUCCGUCUCCGAGCGUUAACUCAAUCAAAGAUCUUUCAUAAGGGUGCAAAUAUUUUUUGUUUGGGAAGUUCUCUUUGUAUGUCCUCAAGGGCACAGCCAACUCCUUCAUUAAUGCGUCAAUUUGUUUUGCGCCUUUAUUUCUCUCACGUUUUGCAGCAUUAGCAAUGCCCUUUGUAGGCGAGACCCUCUUUGCUUUCCUCAGUGCUGAAUGUAGA